CCAGGAAGCAUGGAAAGAACUUUCAUCUCAGUCCUGAAGGGUCCCCCUGGAAAUCAAAUCGAGCUUGACCUCUGAGUAAGAGAUGUGACCAGCACAAGAGAACAAGGCCAAGUUGACAACACAGAAAGAGGUGAUCCCAGCAUGAAGAAGUUAGGGUAUCCUCUUAUUCUUCCCCGAGAAGAAUUCCAUCCCCUGCCCUGGGAAAGGAAACCAGAACAGCUGAUGCCCUGUUUUUCCUUGCCAUACUGUCGGGAGAAGAGCAAAGCAAUGAGCUCAAAUACUAGAAGACAACAGCAUCACAUGUUACUCUUCCAUAUGGACUUAAAGAGAAAAUAAGAAAGGAUAGAAUCUCCUUCCUUGUUAGCUGGACCUUCUGUAGUCAAGCAGGUCCUUUGGGAGAAAACUAGGCUGAAAAACACAGUGACAUCUGAUGGUUUGUUGGCCUGAUUCACCCGUCCCAUUUGGAUAACGCCUGUGGUGGCUGACAGCUGAAAAAAGUCUCCACAAAGAAUCUUGUCCUGAAGUCUCAACUGAGCACUUUCUGGAAACAGCUUGACGUUUCUAAUGUGAAAAAAAUAAUAACUCUGUUGCCUGGUGCUUGGAAAUGUAUAGGCCGGAAGUGAGGAGCAGAAGACGACGGUAAGCAUCAGGGGUCUCCGGGUCCAUCACUCAGGCUCUGCCAGGGUUUGGGCUGUGCCCACAUCUGCCAGGCUAGCAUGGGUGGGGGAGAUAGGAAACAAUGCAUCUUGGU